rnacentral:rRNA from 1 species
GACAGAGGGUACAAACGUUGUUCGGAAUUACUGGGCGUAAAGAGCGUGUAGGCGGCCAGGUAGGUCUGCUGUGAAAACUCGAGGCUCAACCUCGAGACGUCGGCGGAAACCAUCUGGCUAGAGUCCGGAAGAGGAGAGUGGAAUUCCUGGUGUAGCGGUGAAAUGCGCAGAUAUCAGGAAGAACACCCGUGGCGAAGGCGGCUCUCUGGGACGGUACUGACGCUGAGACGCGAAAGCGUGGGGAGCGAACAGG